rnacentral:rRNA from 1 species
CUACCUAUAAGACUGGGAUAACUUCGGGAAACCGGAGCUAAUACCGGAUAAUAUAUUGAACCGCAUGGUUCAAUAGUGAAAGACGGUUUUGCUGUCACUUAUAGAUGGAUCCGCGCCGCAUUAGCUAGUUGGUAAGGUAACGGCUUACCAAGGCAACGAUGCGUAGCCGACCUGAGAGGGUGAUCGGCCACACUGGAACUGAGACACGGUCCAGACUCCUACGGGAGGCAGCAGUAGGGAAUCUUCCGCAAUGGGCGAAAGCCUGACGGAGCAACGCCGCGUGAGUGAUGAAGGUCUUCGGAUCGUAAAACUCUGUUAUUAGGGAAGAACAAAUGUGUAAGUAACUAUGCACGUCUUGACGGUACCUAAUCAGAAAGCCACGGCUAACUACGUGCCAGCAGCCGCGGUAAUACGUAGGUGGCAAGCGUUAUCCGGAAUUAUUGGGCGUAAAGCGCGCGUAGGCGGUUUUUUAAGUCUGAUGUGAAAGCCCACGGCUCAACCGUGGAGGGUCAUUGGAAACUGGAAAACUUGAGUGCAGAAGAGAGAGUGGAAUUCCAUGUGUAGCGGUGAAAUGCGCAGAGAUAUGGAGGAACACCAGUGGCGAAAGCGACUUUCUGGUCUGUGACUGACGCUGAUGUGCGAAAGCGUGGGGAUCAAACACGAUUAUAUACCCUGGUAUUCCACACCGUAAACGAUGAGUGCUAAGUGUUAAGGGGGUUUCCGCCCCUUAAUGCUGGCAGCUAAGUAUUAUGACUACUACUGCGGAGUACGACGCACGUGGUACUCACAUGAAGUUAAUAGGGAGCCCACCCCACCGUGGUGCAGCU